rnacentral:rRNA from 1 species
UACGUAGGGUGCGAGCGUUGUCCGGAAUUAUUGGGCGUAAAGAGCUCGUAGGCGGUCUGUCGCGUCUGCUGUGAAAACUCAGGGCUUAACCCUGAGCUUGCAGUGGGUACGGGCAGACUAGAGUGCGGUAGGGGAGACUGGAAUUCCUGGUGUAGCGGUGAAAUGCGCAGAUAUCAGGAGGAACACCGGUGGCGAAGGCGGUUCUCUGGGCCUUACCUGACGCUGAGGAGCGAAAGCGUGGGGAGCGAACAGG